ensembl:snRNA U6 U6 spliceosomal RNA
GUGCUUGCUUUGGCAGCACAUAUACUAAAACUGGAACAAUAUAGAGAAGAUAGCAUGGCCCAUGCACAAGGAUGACACGCAAAUUUAUGAAGCAUUCCAUAUUUAU